AACGAACGCUGGCGGCAGGCCUAACACAUGCAAGUCGAGCGAGGACUUCGGUUCUAGCGGCGGACGGGUGAGUAACGCGUGGGAAUGUGCCCUUCUCUACGGAAUAGCCCUGGGAAACUGGGAGUAAUACCGUAUACGCCCUUUUGGGGAAAGAUUUAUCGGAGAAGGAUCAGCCCGCGUUGGAUUAGGUAGUUGGUGGGGUAAUGGCCUACCAAGCCGACGAUCCAUAGCUGGUUUGAGAGGAUGAUCAGCCACACUGGGACUGAGACACGGCCCAGACUCCUACGGGAGGCAGCAGUGGGGAAUCUUAGACAAUGGGGGCAAGCCUGAUCUAGCCAUGCCGCGUGAGUGAUGAAGGCCUUAGGGUUGUAAAGCUCUUUCAGCUGGGAAGAUAAUGACGGUACCAGCAGAAGAAGCCCCGGCUAACUCCGUG
rnacentral:rRNA from 1 species